AGGAUCAGCCAGUAGCAUUCAGUUGAACUUUGGGACUCUGUGUCUCUCUAGAAGGGAAACAGGCUGUCCCUUUGCUUUGUUAUUUUUAGAGUUCAGAAUAGCACAAGAGAGGUGCAAACCACAUUCCGUGGAGUAAAAUCUUUGUAGAUUUGCAGGAUACCUUAGCCACCACACUUGGCCAGGACCCAGAGUGUGCAACAGCAACCAAAGAAAGAAAAUCCAUUCAAUCAAGAGGAGACCAGAUACCUAUGCCAAGAAUCGCGUCAAAGAUUUGUCUAGAUCCAAAAGCAAGAACACGAAAAACGAAGUCAAUAAGCCUCCUCUGGAACAUGACUGACAGCUCAGGAAGAAAAUGAUGAUCUAACUGAGCACAGUUAUUACUGAUGGUGACUACAAUACUUUUCAUAACAUUCAAAUAAAGCCUAAUAUGAUUAC